GGCCGAGGUUGAUAGUUGAUGUCGAAUUCUGUGAGCUCGACUGUCCAUUUCGCUAUUCUUUUGGAAGCAACCGCUCGAUGUAGAACGGUCUUAAUCGGCUGGUCGGUGAGCAGUGUUAUAGUGUGCCCUUGAAAGUAAGAUCGAAGCCUCCGAGCUACAAUCAACAGGAUGUAAGUUAGUUUCUCUAAUUUAGUGUACC
rnacentral:lncRNA from 1 species